UACAGAGGUCUCAAGCGUUUGUUCGGAUUCAUUGGGCGUAAAGGGUGCGUAGGCGGCGAGGCAAGUCUGGUGUGAAAUCCCGGGGGCUCAACUUCCGGGAACUUGCACUGGAUACUGCUUUGCUAGAGUACUGGGAGAGGGAACUGGAAUUUACGGUGUAGCGGUGAAAUGCGUAGAUAUCGUAAGGAAGACCAGUGGCGAAGGCGGGGUCUCUGGACAGUUCCUGACGCUGAGGCACGAAGGCCGGGGGAGCAAACGGGG
rnacentral:rRNA from 1 species